rnacentral:lncRNA from 1 species
ACCUGCUGCCCCCCUGCUGCACUCCUGGAGCUCUACAACCGUGCUGGCCGUCGUUUGCAACAGCGGCUGCACUGGCAAGUACCGCACCGCCCGAAGCGACCCCUCCUCGCUAGCUCGUCCCCUGCAAUCGUAGUUCUCGCGUCGGCUAGCCAAGACCACCAGCCAGACCCCUUUUGACUCAACCCAAUGUCGCAGCGUGUCCCUGCAGCUCCAGAGGCGGUUGGUCGGCGAUCUUAUCGCCACCGCCUCGGAACCGACCUCGAGGCCCUAUGUAAAGGCGCCCCUGAACCCCUCUUGCAUGGGAACAUCUUCAGAGCAGCCAUAUAAGACCUCCCCUCCCCCCAAUUGGGCCGAGACCUCCAUCUUCUCCAGCUCCGGGGACCUCAACAGCAGCCGCGCCUCGGAUCGAUUCGGCCAAGCCGAAGCAUUCCCGCCCCAACUGAACCAACCCUCGACCCCUCCUCAACCUCGCAGAGCUUCCCAACCCCUCCAAAACUUCCUAGAGCUGCCCUAUCUCAUACCUCGCCUGAUCUGAAGCUGCCCUCCGCCAUGGAUGAAGGGUUGCUCGCCCUCAAGCUCCAUCGCAUCCCCUAGCCUCAAAAAUGGAUGCAUCUCAUCCUUCUCAACAGACGCAUAGCCGAAACGUUGCAAAUGGUGCAUCGUGGCGCCGGCAAUCUCUAUCAACGUCCACACCCACCUCUGUGUCAACGCACGCGGGAGGAAGAAGGAGAACCCGACAGAUGGGUCCCAUGGUCGCGCAACCUCGUGAGUACGUUUUCCCCUUGCAGUUACGUGUUUGUAGCGAACCGUUUCCUUUUCUGAUUUGUUUCAAAACAGAAUGCUUACCCAACUUUGACUGGCUCUAACUCCUAAAAUAGUAGUCCAAAUGAAUUAAUUCUUUUUCUCACCUCUUCCAAAUUUCAUCUAGUUUAUUUUAGUAUUUAUUUCAAAUUUUUCUAAAACAAAGUCUGUACUGUUUUUAAAUUGUAUGUUGAUUAGUAUAUUUUCAAAAUAGAGUAUGGAGAGAGUAGAAAAACCUUUCAAAAGUUUUGAAGUGAAACCCUACCUCUCUACACUUGGAAGGAAAGCAACCUGAACCUUGACAUGUGCUGGUUGUGUGUGUUUUUGUUUGUUAAAGCAAACACUAUGGUUAUGUUGAUAUUGAUAGUAUUUCAUGUCCUCACCAUGCAUAUGGCUUUAUGUUUGAAAGAAUGAUGAUUGCAUGAGUGAGAUGGGUAAGAUAGAAGUCAUAUAUUUCUGCCACACAUGCCUCUCGGAUGGGAUCCGN